rnacentral:misc_RNA from 1 species
UGGAAUGGAGGGGAGGGGAGGUCAGGUGUUGCUUCUAUUUGUAGGUAGAAAAUGUCUCACCACCGUCGACUUGAGGAUCUACGUCACCUAACGAAUAAACUGACAAAAUGGAAAACGGAAAUCUCCUCAAGUUCCAGAUAUUCAGACUCCUUAACGGUCCGGUGCAUCAGGCGUUCGUGUACCUCUUUCACCAGACAUACACCCAGGAUACAGACGUUUACAGCUGCGCGGUUAAAUGCGGCUUGACGGAAUUCUUCACCGAGACGGAGCUGUCGGCCCUACGUCACGAGAAGCGACCUACGCGACACAGUCUCCCGUUACUGUUCACCAUCCUCAAGACGUGCUGUCACCCCUCGCUGGCUCCCCCUGACAGUCCUAUCUGGAACGACGCGCGUCACAUACCCACAGAUCAGCUCUCGAACGAGGCGCCCGUCGAGAAUCUCCUGGUGACGUUCCUGAAGACUUACGAGGAAUUUUGCACCAAUGCCCCGCUCUCUCAGGAACGCUUCGACGAGAAAAUAUCCGAGAUAACACGCUGGCUGGAGUGGUUGAUCGAGGGAGCCGGGAGACACGACAUUACCGGCAGAUGGAGGGAAGACUUGCAGAGAAUAAUGGCUGGUUUUCAGGACGUGUUGUCGGGGGAGAGACGUAAGAGUUCCUCGGCAGAGAUUACCGUGGAUGUUGCAGUGGAGCUUCGUAUGCGUCAUCAGCUGUAUCGAGAGCCAGAGCUGGACCCCCUGUUGCUGUGGCUGACUAAGGCUAAAGAGAUUCCUAAGAAGAGGACUCGAAAGAUAACCAUUCCAGACCCGGGCCAGAACAUAGGUGUGGCGACCCUAGUGACCGGACUCGCUGCCGACGACGAGAGCUCCCACGGCACGGUUUGUCUCGUCAGAGGAGAGGCGGGGUGUGGCCGGUCGUGUCUGGCUACGCUGCUGGCGUCGUCUUGGACGCAGAAGGACGAGCGGGUCAGUCUGAUAGGCAGUUACCAGGCAACCAUUGUCGUGUCUGGCACGGCCUUUGUGUCGAACGAAGAGGAUUUCGUCUGCGUGAUUCUUCCUCUGUGCUCGACGACUCACGGCGCGGAUAAAGUGAGGACGUGGUUGAGAGAAGUUCACGUACUGCUGGUGAUCGACGACGCCGAAGAGUUGAGCACAGAACGUACUCAAGAGGUAAAGGACCUCGUCACCGGAUCCCAGUCUCUGUCCGCGGUGAUGUUAGCUCUACCCUCGUGCUAUGACAGCCUACGACGGGAUUGGGCCGACCUCGCACCGGUGAGGUUACAUCUGAACGGUUAUAAUCGGGAGGAAAUCGUCACCCUGGCCGAAGAAUACGUCGGCCGGAGAGCAUCGACGGCGGACCCGAAAUGCUUGAAAAAAUAUCUGACAAAAAACCUGUGUAGACUGAGUCAGGUGUUGAAGUACCCCGACUCUCUCGUACAGGCGUGCGAGUGUUAUAUGGAGAGGCCGGACGCGUACGACGACAUAACCACGUCCACCGACAUGCUCUGGACCCUCACACUGUGGAGAAUUAACAAAGCGGUCGGUAGCCCGGAGGGAACCAUCGGCACUAAGGCAUUACAGUGGCUUAUGAUGGCAGGACGAAAAUCUCUAGAAGCUUUCAGGAAAAAUAAAAGAUUGGAAGGUGACAUAAUGUUGGAGCUGGAGACAGAAACCUCAAACAUGUUCCCCGAGUCGGUGGGUCGGACUCUAGUGUCGAGCGUGUUCAAGCAGCGUCAUUAUUACGGGGCAUGCGGGAGAGGCUUCAGCUCGGUGCACGCCGUUCAGCAGGAGUUUCUCGCUGCUUGGUACGCGGUUCACAAGAUCGUCGAGUUUAAAAAGUGGCGGCAGUUAGUGGGAGACUCGCAGUGCGCCUACCGGCUGGCACUGUUUAUAGGGGGUCUCCUGUCUAAAAUGAAAAGGUGGUCUCGUAAUUUAUCCGAGUUGGACGAGCGAAGGGCUAUCGGUUCGGUGCUCAACCACGGGGAGGAGAGCAGCGAGAACCUGACCUUUAACCUAGACCUGGUCGCCGAGGUGAAGGGAGCGCCGCAGGUGGUGGAGUACAUUGUGGAGAUGUCGGAGUACCCGGACGAGUGGAACGUCAGCGCCGCCGACGUUCAGCUCAUUCCUCUCGAGGCUCUGCUGAUGAACGUCGCUCCCACCAGAAUAUUUCUAAACGUGGAGGAACUUAAGCCGUACUCAGAGUUAAGUAAGGUCAUCGGGUUCCUGUGUCGAGUGGAUAUAUUCGUGUGGCUCGACAGCAGUUCUCAGUACAGGUACGGCAACGACGGCAAAAUGGACCGCAUCGUUAAAGCAUUUUUUACCGAACACGUCAUGGCCAAAGUCGAUUUACUGGCCGGGUGCGUGUCGCUGAAGGUGAUGCGCGAGUUUCCAUCUAAAGCGGCCUUCAGUCACCUGGUGUAUAUAAAGAUGCGCGUCCUGGACAAGAAAUGUCUCUCUACAUUACUGGACAUAAAUAAAUACCUUCAAAAGCUACUGUGGCUGGAGGCUAAGAUAGAUUUUCCGAUCUUGGAUGAGGAAAUAAACGACUUGCCUUGUUCUACGGUGCCCCUGAUGGACGUCCACCUGCAGGGUAUAGAAGACUCCUCUGUGGCCAAACUCGUCAACCUCCUUGGUACUCUUCACACCUCUUACACAGGGAUCCACUUGGAGAACACAACCUUUACUCCCGAGGGUUUGUUCGUUCUCCUUAAGCAGCUGCAGAAGAGAGACAUCCGCUUGUAUUCGGAACCUGAGUCGAGGGAACGCUUCAGGCGAUGGUAUUACCCCCAAUUGUCGGCCUGCGAUCCCUCCGUCAAGCUGACCGACGAGAUGGCGAAGGAGAUGCUGGGCUACGACGACCGCAUCUACUACAGCAACCACGUCGUGACCUCCUCGUGCUUCGCGCUGGCUCUCGACGCCUGGAACUUGAUGUCGUACCUGGAGGAACAACAAGACAUUGUACACUUCACUUACAAAACAGAAAAUCUUUCCUUCCUCAAAAAGCUCGACGGAUCGGUCACCAUCGAAGCUCAUAACGAAAACCUGAACUAUAAAAUGACGUAGGAAAUGAGUUACGAAAUGGGGUUAAUGACGUAGGAAAUGAGUUACGAAAUGGGGUUAAUGACGUAGGAAAUGAGUUACGAAAUGGGGUUAAUGACGUAGGAAAUGAGUUACGAAAUGGGGUUAAUGACGUAGGAAAUGAGUUACGAAAUGGGGUUAAUGACGUAGGAAAUGAGUUACGAAAUGGGGUUAAUGACGUAGAAAUGAGUUACGAAAUGGGGGUUAAUGACGUAGGAAAUGAGUUACGAAAUGGAGUUAAUGACGUAGGAAAUGAGUUACGAAAUGGGGUUAAUGACGUAGGAAAUGAGUUACGAAAUGGAGUUAAUGACAUAGGAAAUGAGUUACGAAAUGGGGUUAAUGACGUAGGAAAUGAGUUACGAAAUGGGGUUAAUGACGUAGGAAAUGAGUUACGAAAUGGGGUUAAUGACGUAGGAAAUGAGUUACGAAAUGGGGUUAAUGACGUAGGAAAUGAGUUACGAAAUGGGGUUAAUGACGUAGGAAAUGAGUUACGAAAUGGGGUUAAUGACGUAGGAAAUGAGUUACGAAAUGGGGUUAAUGACGUAGGAAAUGAGUUACGAAAUGGGGUUAAUGACGUAGGAAAUGGGUUACGAAAUGGGGUUAAUGACGUAGGAAAUGGGUUACGAAAUGGGGUUAAUGAAAUAGGAAAUGAGUUACGAAAUGGGGGUUAAUGACGGAGGAAAUGAGUUACGAAAUGGGGGUUAAUGACGUAGGAAAUGAGUUACGAAAUGGGGUUAAUGACGUAGGAAAUGAGUUACGAAAUGGAGUUAAUGACGUAGGAAAUGAGUUACGAAAUGGAGUUAAUGACAUAGGAAAUGAGUUACGAAAUGGGGUUAAUGACGUAGGAAAUGAGUUACGAAAUGGGGUUAAUGACGUAGGAAAUGAGUUACGAAAUGGGGUUAAUGACGUAGGAAAUGAGUUACGAAAUGGGGUUAAUGACGUAGGAAAUGAGUUACGAAAUGGGGUUAAUGACGUAGGAAAUGAGUUACGAAAUGGGGUUAAUGACGUAGGAAAUGAGUUACGAAAUGGGGUUAAUGACGUAGGAAAUGAGUUACGAAAUGGGGUUAAUGACGUAGGAAAUGGGUUACGAAAUGGGGUUAAUGACGUAGGAAAUGGGUUACGAAAUGGGGUUAAUGACGUAGGAAAUGAGUUACGAAAUGGGGUUAAUGACAUAGGAAAU